CCACUGCCUCACUGUCUUUCCUUCUCUUUCUCUCUCCCUCUUUAUCACUUUGCGGAUAAGGAGAUAGCCUAGCUUAACUCUAGUGUCAGCCUAAGGCAUGGUGCAAAGCUGCACUACUCCAAGAGAAACUCCAAGGAGGAAGUAUGACUCAGAGAGCUGCAAUUCCUUCCAUGGUUCCUCCUUGUUCCAUCGGGGGAACUUUCUAACAUCAGUGACUUCUGGGCUGUCACCCCUGAGAGAAGAAUCAGAGCCCAAGAGAGUGUACUUGUCAGUAGUUUAUGGAUGACAAUAGUCACAUACACACUGCUUCACGAUAAGAAUCAGCAUCCCAGUCCUUUUUUGCUCUGCAUCCCUUUCAAACAUCCAUAAAUGGACAAUACAAGGGUUAUCAGAGUAAAACUUCAUCCACAAUUAUCUCGUGAUGCUGAACUGAGAAGUUACUAUCUGUGAACUUAAACACCUCACUGCUUAGGUGGGAUUUCCCAUUUGCUGUUGCUGCUAACAUCUCUUCAUAAAACACAUUAACCCUUUUUCACUCCAAAACUGCAUGUUUCUUCCCUUACAAAGUUGAUGGACAAGAUCUUCCACGGAUACAAAAUUUUGUAGCUCCACUGAGACCAGCAGGAUGAUACUGAUUUACACCAGAUAUGGACCUGGUUCAUGAAUUAACAAAGCCAAUUACAAAAGUAACAUGCAGCAAGGAAGUGACUUCUGUUAAAAACAUUUUGGAAUGGAAAACCAAAAAUGAUGGAUGCACCACUGGGGUGGAGGGAGCAGAGCCUGCCUCAAAGAGGACCUCAUAGAGCUGCUAACCUCCCCAAAAAACGUGCUGCUGCUCUUGGAGAAGAGGGGGAAAGUUUCCCCAGGACACACACAGCCACACCAAGCACCCUAGUAACUACUUUCUAGAUAUUUUUAUGCACUGUCACAUCAAAACCAGACUGAACAUCCAAAACAUUUGGAUUCAACCCAUCAUUGAUUAAUGGAAGGAGGAGAAGGAGAACGGGUGGGAAGAAGUCAUUGUGAACUACCAUAACACUGGGCAGUAAGCCCUGCUAUUCAAUAAAUGAAACAAUACAUUAAAAAAUAAAACUUUG
rnacentral:lncRNA from 1 species